AAUAAUACUAUAUCUUAGGAAGAACGUAUGGAACAAUAUGUUUGUUUGGUAUUGGGUUUUUUGUACAGAAAGAAAUAUUUGUACUGUAAUUGAUAUUUGAAUUUAUGUCUGUGCAAAUUAAUAUGUAUAUUAGUAAAUUACACACAUCACGUUUCUUAUACAUCAGUACUCACCACAUGUGCUUUAUACUUUUAUAAUACAUACGUAAGUCACAGAAUCAUUUCAACUUUUGUUCAUUCACAUUAAUUCAAAAAUUUCCAAUUCUAACUAUAACUAUUAUUUUUUUUCAAUCAAAUAUAUAGUUUUCACGUUUAAAUCAACACAUGUAUAAUGUAAGUCAGUGAACCGGAUAUACGUUAAUGUAUUACAGUGCCAGUGAUGCG
rnacentral:lncRNA from 1 species